CCUACGGGCGGCUGCAGUGAGGAAUAUUGCACAAUGGGGGAAACCCUGAUGCAGCAACGCCGCGUGGGUGAAGGAGCGUUUCGGCGCGUAAAGCCCUGUCAGCGGGGAAGAAGAAAGACGGUACCCGACCAAGAAGCGCCGGCUAACUACGUGCCAGCAGCCGCGGUAAUACGUAGGGGGCGAGCGGUAUCCGGAAUUACUGGGUGUAACGGGAGCGUAGACGGCGAGGUAGGCCUGAGGUGGAAGCCCGCGGACCAACGGCGGAACUGCUUUUGGAAGUGUUUUGCGGGAGUAUGGGAGGGGUAAGCGGAAUUGCUGGUGUAGCGGUGAAAUGCGUAGAUAUCAGGAGGAACACCGAUGGCGAAGGCAGCUUACUAGACCAUAACUGACGUUGAGGCUCGAAAGCGUGGGGAGCGAACAGGAUUAGAUACCCUUGUAGUC
rnacentral:rRNA from 1 species